rnacentral:ncRNA from 1 species
CCGCGGGGACGACCCUGCCGGACAGAACGUGAAGACGGGACGACCCGU